UAUUCUGCCCCACGGGGAAGGAUGAGAAGCUUCGACCAAGGUUCGACUCGAGCGAAGCGAGAGAACGUUGCCGCAGGCAAUGGCCCGCAGGCGAGGCGCUUUAGCGCCGAGUAAUCCUUCCCCCACCACUG
rnacentral:sRNA from 1 species